UACGAGGGGUGCAAGCGUUGUUCGGAAUUAUUGGGCGUAAAGGGCAGGUAGGUGGUCUUAUAAGUCUACUGUGAAAUCCCCGGGCUUAACCCGGGACGUGCGGUGGAUACUGUAAGACUAGAGUGCUGGAGGGGUUCGUGGAAUACCCGGUGUAGCGGUGAAAUGCGUAGAUAUCGGGUGGAACACCAGAGGCGAAGGCGGCGAACUUGACAGUAACUGACACUCAACUGCGAAAGCGUGGGGAGCAAACAGG
rnacentral:rRNA from 1 species